rnacentral:rRNA from 1 species
AUUGAACGCUGGCGGCAUGCCUUACACAUGCAAGUCGAACGGUAGCGCGGGGCAACCUGGCGACGAGUGGCGAACGGGUGAGUAAUGCAUCGGAACGUGCCCAGUAGUGGGGGAUAGCCCGGCGAAAGCCGGAUUAAUACCGCAUACGACCUACGGGUGAAAGCGGGGGACCGCAAGGCCUCGCGCUAUUGGAGCGGCCGAUGUCAGAUUAGGUUGUUGGUGGGGUAAAGGCCUACCAAGCCUACGAUCUGUAGCUGGUCUGAGAGGACGACCAGCCACACUGGGACUGAGACACGGCCCAGACUCCUACGGGAGGCAGCAGUGGGGAAUUUUGGACAAUGGGGGCAACCCUGAUCCAGCCAUGCCGCGUGCGGGAAGAAGGCCUUCGGGUUGUAAACCGCUUUUGUCGGGGAAGAAGUCUUUCGGGCUAAUACCUCGGAAGGAUGACGGUACCCGAAGAAUAAGCACCGGCUAACUACGUGCCAGCCGCCGCAGUAAGAC